rnacentral:rRNA from 1 species
GACGAACGCUGGCGGCAUGCCUAACACAUGCAAGUCGAACGGAAGUAGCAAUACUUUAGUGGCGAACGGGUGAGUAACACGUGAGCAACCUGCCUCAUACACUGGGAUAACAGUUGGAAACAACUGCUAAUACCGGAUAAGACCACACUGUGGCAUCACAGAGGGGUCAAAGUGACUUAGCGGUAUGAGAUGGGCUCGCGUCCAAUUAGCUAGUUGGUGGGGUAACGGCCCACCAAGGCGACGAUUGGUAGCCGACUUGAGAGAGUGAUCGGCCACACUGGAACUGAGACACGGUCCAGACUCCUACGGGAGGCAGCAGUGGGGAAUAUUGGGCAAUGGAGGAAACUCUUACCCAGCAAUGCCGCGUGAGUGAUGAAGGUCUUUGGAUUGUAAAGCUCUUUGAUUGGGGAAGAAAGCAAUGACGGUACCCAAAGAACAAGCCCCGGCUAACUAUGUG